rnacentral:tRNA from 1 species
GCAGGAGUGGUGGAACGGCAGACACGAUAGUUUGAGGGACUAUUGCCUAAUUAGGUAUGAGGGUUCAAAUCCCUUCUCCUGCACCA